rnacentral:rRNA from 1 species
GAUGAACGCUAGCUACAGGCUUAACACAUGCAAGUCGAGGGGAAACGACAUCGAAAGCUUGCUUUUGAUGGGCGUCGACCGGCGCACGGGUGAGUAACGCGUAUCCAACCUGCCCACCACUUGGGGAUAACCUUGCGAAAGUAAGACUAAUACCCAAUGACGUCUCUAGAAGACAUCUGAAGGAGAUUAAAGAUUUAUCGGUGAUGGAUGGGGAUGCGUCUGAUUAGCUUGUUGGCGGGGUAACGGCCCACCAAGGCGACGAUCAGUAGGGGUUCUGAGAGGAAGGUCCCCCACAUUGGAACUGAGACACGGUCCAGAAUCCUACGGGAGGCAGCAGUGAGGAAUAUUGGUCAAUGGGCGAGAGCCUGAACCAGCCAAGUAGCGUGCAGGAUGACGGCCCUAUGGGUUGUAAACUGCUUUUAUAAGGGAAUAAAGUGAGUCUCGUGAGACUUUUUGCAUGUACCUUAUGAAUAAGGACCGGCUAAUUCCGUGCCAGCAGCCGCGGUAA